CCUGGUUGAUCCUGCCAGUAGUCAUAUGCUUGUCUCAAAGAUUAAGCCAUGCAUGUCUAAGUACAAGCCGAUUUAAGGCGAAACCGCGAAUGGCUCAUUAAAUCAGCUAUGAUUCAUUGGAUCUGUACCCACACUUACUUGGAUAACUGUGGUAAUUCUAGAGCUAAUACAUGCACCACGUCUCUGACCGCAAGGGAAGAGCGCUUUUAUUAGUUCAAAACCGGUCGGGCCUCGGUCCGUCACCCCCGUGUUGAAUCUGAAUAACUUGUCGCUGAGCGCACGGUCUCCGCACCGGCGCCGCCUCUUUCAAGUGUCUGCCUUAUCAGCUUUCGAUUGUAGGUUAUGCGCCUACAAUGGCUAUAACGGGUAACGGGGAAUCAGGGUUCGAUUCCGGAGAGGGAGCCUGAGAAACGGCUACCACAUCUAAGGAAGGCAGCAGGCACGCAAAUUACCCACUCCCGGCACGGGAGGUAGUGACGAAAAAUAACGAUGCGAGACUCAUCCGAGGCCUCGCAAUCGGAAUGAGUACACUUUAAAUCCUUUAACGAGGAUCUAUUGGAGGGCAAGUCUGGUGCCAGCAGCCGCGGUAAUUCCAGCUCCAAUAGCGUAUAUUAAAGUUGUUGCGGUUAAAAGCUCGUAGUUGGAUUUCAGUUCUGGACUGACGGUUCACCGCCCGGUGCAUACUGUCACGCUCCGAACAGCCACAACAGCCCGCUGGCUCGCACGGGGUGCUCUUCAUCGAGUGUCCCGCGUGGCCGGCAGAGUUUACUUUGAAAAAAUUAGAGUGCUCAAAGCAGGCUACACUUACGGCCUGAAUGCCUAUGCAUGGAAUAAUGGAAUAGGACCUCGGUUCUAUUUUGUCGGUUUUCUGAACCCGAGGUAAUGACUAAUAGGAACAGGCGGGGGCAUUCGUAUUGCGACGCUAGAGGUGAAAUUCUUGGACCGUCGCAAGACGAACUACUGCGAAAGCAUUUGCCAAGGAUGUUUUCAUUAAUCAAGAACGAAAGUUAGAGGUUCGAAGGCGAUCAGAUACCGCCCUAGUUCUAACCAUAAACGAUGCUGACCAGCGAUCCGCCGGCGUUAUCCCAUGACCCGGCGGGCAGCUUCCGGGAAACCAAAGUCUUUGGGUUCCGGGGGAAGUAUGUUGCAAAGCUGAAACUUAAAGGAAUUGACGGAAGGGCACCACCAGGAGUGGAGCCUGCGGCUUAAUUUGACUCAACACGGGGAACCUCACCAGGCCACACCGGAAGGAUUUGAAGCUAUUUCUCGAUUCUCGAUGGUGGUGGUGGUGUGGCCGGUUGGUGGCGAUUUGUCUGGUUAAUUCCAUAACGAACGAGACUCCUACUAACUAGUCGACGGAUCUCCAGCAAUUGGUGUCUCAGUUUCAGCUUCUUCUUAGAGGGAUAAGCUAGCGCGCACAGCAAACUACAGGUCUGUGAUGCCCCUUAGAUGUUCUGGCCGCACGCGCGCUACACUGAAGGGAUCAACGUGUCCUCCCCCUCCGAGAGGAGCGGGUAACCCGUUGAAAUCCUUUCAUGAUAGGGAUUGGGGUUUGCAAUUGUCUCCCAUGAACGAGGAAUUCCCAGUAAGCGCAAGUCAUGAGCUUGCGUUGAUUACGUCCCUGCCCUUUGUACACACCGCCCGUCGCUACUACCGAUUGAAUGAUUUAGUGAGGCCUUCGGACUGGCGCUCUUGGAUGCCGGGCCCACGCGGUUCCGCCGCUGGGCUUUCGGCGCCUCGAGCUGACGGAAAGAUGUCCAAACUUGAUCAUUUAGAGGAAGUAAAAGUCGUAACAAGGUUUCCGUAGGUGAACCUGCGGAAG
rnacentral:rRNA from 1 species